AUUGAACGCUGGCGGCAGGCCUAACACAUGCAAGUCGAACGGUAACAGGAAACAGCUUGCUGUUUCGCUGACGAGUGGCGGACGGGUGAGUCAUGUCUGGGAAACUGCCUGAUGGAGGGGGAUAACUACUGGAAACGGUAGCUAAUACCGCAUAACGUCGCAAGCCCAAAGAGGGGGACCUUCGGGCCUCUUGCCAUCGGAUGUGCCCAGAUGGGAUUAGCUAGUAGGUGGGGUAACGGCUCACCUAGGCGACGAUCCCUAGCUGGUCUGAGAGGAUGACCAGCCACACUGGAACUGAGACACGGUCCAGACUCCUACGGGAGGCAGCAGUGGGGAAUAUUGCACAAAGGGCGCAAGCCUGAUGCAGCCAUGCCGCGUAUAUGAAGAAGGCCUUCGGGUUGUAAAGUACUUUCAGCGGGGAGGAAGGGAGUAAAGUUAAUACCUUGGCUCAUUGACGUUACCCGCAGAAGAAGCACCGGCUAACUCCGUG
rnacentral:rRNA from 1 species